GCAAGUCGAGCGCACCCUUCGGGGUGAGCGGCGGACGGGUUAGUAACGCGUGGGAACGUACCCUUUUCUACGGAAUAGUCUCGGGAAACUGAGGGUAAUACCGUAUAAGCCCUUCGGGGGAAAGAUUUAUCGGAGAAGGAUCGGCCCGCGUUAGAUUAGAUAGUUGGUGGGGUAAUGGCCUACCAAGUCUACGAUCUAUAGCUGGUUUGAGAGGAUGAUC
rnacentral:rRNA from 1 species